rnacentral:lncRNA from 1 species
AGCCAGAGUCGUGAACCAAAGCCGCAUUGACGUUAGGGCUAUCUCGAUCGGUGUGUAUCGGUGUCGAUAUGUACUAAGCGUACGUGAUUUAUAUUGAUGGCGCGAAGGCAAUAGUCAGCGUGGUGAACCGUAUCAAGAAGUUCAAACCGGCGAUCGUUGGCGACUUUGACCCCGACGUGUCGAAAAGCGUCUACUGGGAGGCUGUUGGAGCGUGCGCCGGGGAAUGAGACAUGAGCUGAGCUGGUUGCUGCUUUGAAAAAGAAGCACGUGGCCAUCCCUAUGGUAUUGAACGCAAGGUUCGAGGUUUAUGUGUGCCUUUAGGCUGUUUUUCUUACCUCAUCUUCGACUCUGUUCAGAAGGAGGGGGUUCGUCUUUUGUUUCCCUUUUUCAAAUCAGCAGCAUACACUGACUUCCGUUACCAGCGGGCAGUAAUAGACCCUUUCCGAAAUUCAGUGCCAUCUGGUGGUUCGUAAAGCAGUUUAGGUUUUGCGGAAUCAAUGGCGGAUAUAAACUUGUGUCGGCACUGUCACUUUCGCAAGUCAACGGCGCGCGAGGAAUUGUUCAGUGUGAGUUCUUUCUCGAUCACUUUCAGUUCGAUGGUGACCAAGAACCUGCAUUCAGAACAAAGGUCCAACCCACUCAGAUGCCUCGAGAAAAUUCUAUACACCAAAGUGCUUUAAAGCCGCCCACAGAUUGACUGAAUCUGAGUUAUUAGAAAUAAAUGCUUACGUAGCUCUUGUGUUCCAUUCAUAUCUCGCGUCGUACUGACCCCCUGAAUGUACAGGCCUCGCAACAUCCGCUUAGGAGCAUCUUCAACGUCUUCCUUUAUCACUUUAUCAGUCACUAGAAGGUCGACAUUGGUAUGGCACAGAUGCCGUUCCACAGAUGAUGAUAGUGAUCAAAGUGGCCAGACUGAAUUUCGGAAAGGGUCUAUUGUGGGUAAAAUUGAACGGUUAGGCUAAGAAAUAUCUUGCAUUUUGUUCGCUUUACGAGUAAUUGUGUCCAUUUAUUAUGGCUGGUCAGGACUAUUUGUACAGACACUUUUUAAAUUGCUUGCUAUUCUGGUACACAGAUCCGGUGGGUAGAACGCUCUAUGAAAGUGGACCACAAGCCGCACUUUAACACACAAAGCGCCGCAGCUUGGCCACUCCUGAUCUCGACUGUGCUGUAGCUGCAGUUGUCCCUCUUCAAUUUCAAGAGACACUCUCCUGCUCGUUUCUCGACCGCAUUAAAUCUGAAUUCGACACUCUUCAGUCUUACGAGAUGUGCUCACCUGCUCUAAGUCAAGUCAAAAUCUCGCUGUACACGAAGUUACAUCUCUUCUCAACUAUCGCAAGACGUCCUCAUUUGUUUGGCGUCCUGCUUGCGUUGCAGCCGAAGUUUCCUCUCUUUAAUCUUUUCAUUCGCUUCAAUGGUCCUCUUGUUGCUACUUGCCUCUCCAGCUUUCAACAAACAUGUUUUAUGUUGUUCCGAAGUACCCUAGGCACUUUGCUUUCACUGUGCCUCAGCACGCUUGCGUAAUGUUCCUCUGGUGAGACCUGCUUUCGCAUACCGACAACGAAAGAUGAUACUCAAGUCUGGUUCACAGAUCUCUCCUCAGAUGUGGCUAUGUGCGACUGCGACCAGAUGCGGCGCACAUUGCUAUGUCAACAACGGCGUUGAGUCACUGGCACGUGCGUCAACGCAGCUCUUGCCUGCAACCAGUAGCUCUUUCGCAAAUGCUUACCCAUGUAUGCUCGUAGUGAAGCGGAUACGAUGCCCGGCUUAGACUCCAACAGUUGUGGGUUUGAGGCGCAGUGCCGGCGGCAUGUUUUUCUUUUCUGAAUUAUAAUGUGCCGGCACAUGCUGUUUUCGAAAGCAGUUACAAAUCCUCGGAACAACAGACGCCUAAAGUGCAUAUGCUUUGCUUAUAGAUGCUAUCGUAUUUAAAAGCACUGAAUUGUAAGUACAAAGCAACUGAGAGUUUACGUUCCUCAUAGAAAGUACACUGGUUGCAAAGUAGUAUUAUCAUAUUUUACUUUCUAACUAACUUAGAAGUACCUUCUAACAGAAUAUUUUAUCAUGCUAUUUCGUUUACCUACACAGUGUUUUCUGACAACAGGUAUCGUCCUUUGCACACUAGAGUAUGUAAAGGACGAUAUACCAAUUAUUUCCUGUAAUGACAGUGAAUACCGGAUAUCUUGUCAGGGGCGUCUGGAAGCAUUUCUUCAGGGAGGGGGCAAUCACAGGUAUAGGGCUGAAACCUGCACACAAAACAUAAAGGGGGGGGGAGCAAUUUAAUGUGAACUAUGUGUGUCCCAAUUAUGUGUUGGAGUUUAUAUUAAAUAAAUAUUACAACACCUGGACCUUUUUCUUUUCGAGAUUUUGAUGUCGCCAUCCGCUGCAGUGGGUGGCAAGUACAAAAAAAAAAAAAGACGGAGGACAGGACGUCCGCUGUGUCGCUUGGGGAGCAUGCCCGACUGGUUGAAAAGCUGAGGUCGGCAAAGCAGAGGGUGCUGAACCUGGAGCAGGAGCCCCAGAUAGAGAGGACGCUAUCAAGAAGCAGCUGCUGGCACUACUAGUGGACAAUGUCCCGUCUGGCAGUGUUGGGUCAGCUCCUCCAGCAUGCCCAGCAGUGGUUCCUGCAGCUGGCGCUCCUGCUUCAGUUCACGUAGUGCGAGCUGGUGUGGAUCACACUCGACCUGUACCGGCCGCUGAUGCUGCUGUUCCAGCAGCGGAUCUUGUAGCAGGCCCGCCGGAGGCAUUUCCCUAGUGUGUGCCAGUGCUUGCAGAGGCUGACGACGAGGUUCACCUUUGCCAUGGUGUCUCGGUGAAAAAGGACAAGCUGUUCUACGUUAGGGGAGCCCGGGGAGACUCCAUGUUCGUUAAAGAGGCGACAAAGUUGAUCUUCGGCAGGGAGAACCUGCAUGGGCGGAGUGUGACUGGGGUGCUAUGCCGGCGCUUCUAGGGCGCUGUCGCCGAGAGGGCCCUGACUCCAGUCAAGUUGGCAGCAAUGCCUUCAACGAGUACCUAUGGAGGCAUCCUCGAGAGGCCCCUCCAGGGAAGAGGACAGCUCGGGUGAAUCUACUGCAGUAUGCACAUUUGUUAAUAUCCUACUGCAGGAUAUUAACUAGAAGUUUGACUUCUAAGCUUGCUUAGAGGUUAAGCUUCUUGUUGGUGUUCUGCAGAUGCCAAUUUGCGUUCACUAAAUACACGUAUAAACUGAAA